UUGCUUCGGCAGCAAAUAUACUAAAAUUGCAACAAUACAGAGAAAAUUAGAAUGGCCCCUGUGGGAGGAUGACAUGCAAAUUCCAGAAGCAGUCUAUAUUUUU